rnacentral:rRNA from 1 species
CAGCAGCCGCGGUAAUACGUAGGGGGCAAGCGUUAUCCGGAAUUACUGGGUGUAAAGGGAGCGUAGACGGUUAAACAAGUCUGAAGUGAAAUGCCGGGGCUCAACCCCGGAGCUGCUUUGGGAACUGUAGAACUGGAGUGUCGGAGAGGUAAGCGGAAUUCCCAGUGUAGCGGUGAAAUGCGUAGAUAUUGGGAGGAACACCGGCGGCGAAGGCGGCUUACUGGACGACAACUGACGUUGAGGCUCGAAGGCGUGGGUAGCAAACAGGAUUAGAUACCCCAGUAGUCCCUGUCUCUUAUAC